ACUGUGCGGAACACCAGGCAGGAGACACAGAUAUCCCACACAGCCUACCUUGAAGACAAUGUACGAAUAGAUCCUCAUCGACUUUUCCAACAAGGUCCAAGAAAAUUUCUCUUACACAAACACUCGCAAGGCAGAAGUAGAGCAGAGUCCCUUGAGACAUAAUUCUUAAGAUCACUCCAAGGUAAGAUUCCAGUGAAGUCAGGUACCCGUGACUGCAACUCUGGAGCAAGAUGCUUAACCUGUAAGUCUGUGCUUUAGGGACAAAUUGUCUCAUCCCACACCAGACUCUCUCUUCAGAAUAUGUAUACUUGUUUUCAGCAUUUGGCUGCAUGAUUUGGCA
rnacentral:lncRNA from 1 species